UACGUAGGGCGCAAGCGUUGUCCGGAAUUAUUGGGCGUAAAGAGCUCGUAGGCGGUUUGUCGCGUCUGCUGUGAAAACUCGAGGCUCAACCUCGGGCUUGCAGUGGGUACGGGCAGACUAGAGUGCGGUAGGGGUGACUGGAAUUCCGUGGUGAUAGCGGUGAAAUGCGCAGAUAUCAGGAGGAACACCGGUGGCGAAGGCGGGUCUCUGGGCCGUAACUGACGCUGAGGAGCGAAAGCGUGGGUAGCAAACAGG
rnacentral:rRNA from 1 species